rnacentral:lncRNA from 1 species
CUAUAAUUGAGUGUAUUCUUAGUUUAAAUAUAAUUUUUGAAAGUGAAAGCAAAAAUAUUUGAAAAACUCUGUGAUAUUUAUUAGUAAUUCUUCUAUUCAUUCAGUAAAUAUUUAUUAAUAGUUUACAAUGAACUUAUAAACAAUUCUAAUUUACUAAUACUAUUUUCACAUACUCGUUCAAGACAAGUGCUAACAUUUUGCCUUCUUUGCUUGGAUUCCAGUAUGUUCGUUUGCUGCUGAAAGGGGAAGUUGACCAGGUUGGUAUUUAGUUGGCCAAUGCAGAAGUUACAGAGUCGUUUACAAUUUUAAUUUCCAGAUUUCAAUAUUUAAUGUCAGUAAUAACUAAAAUCUUUUGGAGAUCUCUAAGUAAUUAGUUACUAUUGUGCAUAGAACAAAUUUUGUAUUUGGAUCUUUUUCACUGGAGAUUAAGAUUUGUGUGUGAUAUGGAAAGGAAAAUAAACUGUUGACUGUAAAAGCUUUCUUAUGGUGAAGGAAUUUUAUGGUAAUACAGUGCAUGGUCAGUGUGAUCUAGAAGAAUGACUGAAGCAUAUGGAACUGAUAUAAUAUUGUAUGUUAAAUAUACAUCAGUUAAAAACAAAACUAGACUAACCCAGAGUCCUGGGUUCUGCUACUGCUAUUAACUAGCUUUAAGACUACGGGCAAGUCUUACAACUUCUCUUGACCUUAAUUUCCAGAUCUGGAAAAUGUGGAUAAUAAUCCUUACUUUGCCUCCUGGUGUGGAUGCUUUCAUGAUAAAUAGUAGCUUCUGUGUUGGUAAAAUAUUUGCAUCAGAAUGGAGUGAAGAGAGCAUUUGGUAAUAGAAUUUGUUUGCUUUCUUACUAAGUGUGAGUUCCUAGACAGAAGGCAGAGA